rnacentral:lncRNA from 10 species
GUGGAAAAGAAGGUCACCUGCUAAUAUUCCCCUACAGCAACAAGAAUUCCACAUCCCUGUAUAGUCAGAAGUCUCUUUCUGGGAGCCUCAGGAUUCAGGUAGGAGUUUGUGAAACACUGAUGAAGCCCUAGACAUAGGAGGGUUGUUUUGAGAGUAUCGAAUGACACUGAGGUGGCUGAUCCACCAAGCUUGCUCCCAGGUUCAAACCUGGAAAUGACCCAGUCCCCCAAGGGCCUUGGCUACAGACCAUUUGGCCUUUGAGCCUGCAAUCAAAAUCAUCUGCCAAGGGGUCCAGAAGGAAUCACACAACUAGUGCUUUGGUGGAGAGACUUGUCUGAAUGCUGGCAUCAUCUUGGCAGUGAACUGAAUGUUGCCCUGUGGCUCUGCUCCAACCCCUCUAAUAAAUUAAAAGGGAUAUUUGGAUGACUUGAUUUGAUUACACUGUACCCCAAGGUCUCACAAAGUGACCAGCACUAGUAGGUAUUCCAUAGAUAUUUAUUGAGUAAUGAAUCUCAUACGCAUAAAUAUUGACUGUCAUCUUUAAAGUAUGUUUGCUAAUUUUAUAACUUAAAAGUGAUUCUCCAUCAAUGGUUGCUUGCUAAGGACUUUGAGUAUUUUAGUAUGUUUAUAGAAAUGAAGUUCUUUGUUCUGAUUUCAUUACAAAAAUAUAAUACAAUAUUUUUGUAUAGUAUUUCAAAGUCUUUUCACUUAUUCUUUGCAUUUGCCUGACCUAUCUUUGUUUCUUCUUUUAUUUUUACAUUUUUUUCCAUUUGUUUUACUUUUUAAAAGUCCUAUUAUAAAUGUCAACAGUAUAAUUGGGUUUUGGUUUUAAUCUCAAUCAGAAAAUCAUCAUUUUUGAUUAGGAAAGUUUCAAUCAUGUUUAUAUCUUGCCAUGACUGUGUGCUUAGCCUUAGUUUUAUCAUUUUGAGAUACAAUUUGCUGUUUUUAAAUGCUGACUGUUUCUUUUGUUUUGUUAACAAAUAAGCUGGCUUUUUGGCUUCUAUAUUUUUCAGCAGUUAUCUUUCAGUUUUUAAAAUCAUUCUUGAAUUCACUUUUGUAUAUAUAUACGUAUAUUUUAUAUAUACACAUACAAUUCAGGAAUACAAAAAUAAUCUCUGACUUCUUGAAGAAUUUAGAAGCUUUUACUUUCUGCUGCUUUCUUCAUGACAUUUGCUAAUCUAUCUAGAAAUACUGACAUAUUAUUUCUGAAUUUUUUCACAUCUUUUCCUUCUUUUAAUUGUAUUCAGUUUUGUUAUAUUUAAGCAUUUAUUAGAUGGAACUCUACAUGUUUAUCUUGAAUAAAUAUUUACCAUCAGGCAUCUUCUACCUGGACUUCCCCGUUGUAAAUUCUUACUUGGAUUCGUUUUUUGAGUUGGCCUUAUAGUUCAAAGUUGCCUCUCUGGAUUUCUGGUUGUCACAGUGCCCACGUUUCUCAAGUUGAUGUAGUGAAGAAACAUAGAGGCUUCUUUGGGUUGUCUUCUUGUUUGGCCUCAUUUUUCUUAAUCAGGGCAAAGCAUUCACUGGUCACUGAUAGAUUUUCAAUCCAGUUCAAUCUAUGAGUCUUGCAAACGUUGACUGACAUCUCUACUUUUCUGUGUCUUUGAGGAUUUCCAUCUUUGUUGUGUAUGACUUUUGGGGUAUAGUAAUAAAUAAUAAAUAGAGAAGGGGGAAAGUGAAACUUAUAACUUUUUACUUUUUUUUUUUUUUUUUUUGAGACAAAGUCUGGCUCUGUUGCCCAGGCUGUAGUGCAGUGGCGCGAUCUUGGCUCACUGCCACCUCCACCUUUCAGGCUCAAACCAUCCUUCCACCUCAGCUUCCCAAGUAGCCGGGACUACAGCCUUGCAGUCCCAGCCUGGCUAAUUUUGGUAUUUUUUGUAGAAAUGGGGUUUCGCCAGAUUGUCUAGGCUGGUCUCGAACUUGUGAGCUCAAACGAUCCUCCUGUGUUGGCCUUCCAAAGUGCUGGGAUUACAGGUUUGAGCCACUGCACCUGGCCUAACUUUUUACCAUUUUAAAAGAUAAAUAAUCUCAUUUACUCUUUAUAGCAAUCCUGUAAAGUUGGUAGUAAAGCUGUUUCACAGAUGAGGAAACUGAAAUUCAGAGAUAUUAAAGGGUGUUCCCAAGAUCACAUAACUAAUAAGUGGCAUAAUCUGGGUCUACCCCAAUCCUUGGUUUAUAGCCUCCAUAAAACAAACACUUGUUGAAUGAAUAAGAAAAUGGACAAAUAAAUGAAUGAAAACACAAUGGAAUAAACUUGGACAGUGCUUAUUUUUUAAACCACCUUUUUCAUUUUUGACCAGAUGCUAAACUUUUUAUAGAAAACCUAAGAUAUUCAAGUUUAAAAGGAUAAACCAAAACAAGCAGAAUGAGUCAUUUCAAUUAAAAGAGGGACACAUUUAAAAGAAAUAUAUUCUCCAAGCAUGAAAGUUUAUUGUUGGAAAUUUUCAAAAGUUGUAUCUUUGCUUUAGAGCAGAAAGAGUGAUGGAUUAUCUUGACAGAAUCAAAAUUCAUCAGUUUUUGAUUAUCUAAUUACCUUUCUACCAUAGCUUUUAGCUAUCAAUUAGGUUUCCAUUUGGAGGUCUUCCCACUGCACAGUAUGAAUUCCUUUACUAUGUAAAGGUAUGGGGAAGGUAGAACUGGACAAAUGUCAUGGGAGCGCGUGGCCAGCUGGAAGGCACAGAAAGCAGAGGGCACAGACUUUCCACAUUCUCUGAAUAGAUCUGAAGAAUUCAGCUUUGGCCCAUUCUCACUGACCUUUCUCCAGAGUAUUUUCUUUCAGGGGCUCUUCACUGGAAAAUCUUAAUUUUUUUUUCCUCUUAAAGGAUAGCCAAAUUCUUGAGAGGGAAAAUAAUUAUCUGGUUGAAACAUUAGAAGAGGGUCAAAGGCUUCUGGUGGCUUUGGCUGCUUCAUUUUUACCCAUUUUCGAAGCCUCAUCUUAGGCUGUGUCUAGACAUCCAAGGAGAGUUGGAUACAGGUCUAAAACACUGAACUGAGCUGAUUUACUGGAAGUCUCAUAAAUUCUGUCGAUGAAGCUUCCAGGUUCUCACCACAUGCUGUAGCUGUAUAGAUAACCCACAGCAAUUUGUACUGACUGCAUUUUUUUGUUUAGUCUAUUUCAGCUGCAAUCAUGCAGAUAUGAGCUUCUGAAUAAUUCCACUAUUACAACCAAGCUGAACUAUGUGUUUUAGUUUAAAGAAAUAAGUCACUUCAAUGCUAAAAAAGAAGUAUGAGAAAUUUUAUGCCUUAGGUAAAAGGCUUUUAAGCGUUACACUAAAGAGAACAGGACCUCAUGAUGAGACCAUGUUUUGACUGUAUGUGUAACUUUCAUUAACAUUUCAUAAGAAUACCUUUGGGUGUUAAAAAUCCAAAGUUUAAUUCCCUUACCUAUGUCAGCUGUUCAAACAUCUGAGCCUAAAUAGUGAAUGUUGGCAAUUAUAAACAAUGUUUCAAAAUCAUCUUUGAACAAAUUCCUUUGCACAAUUAUUGAAUCAUUUGAUAAAAAUAAACUUUUAGGAGUGGAAUUUCUGGGCCACAUGGUUUGCACCUAAUUAAGGCAUUUAAUGCAGAUUCCCAAACUGGCCUCCAGGGAGGCUACACGCACAGUCGGCCACAUGUAUUACAUGAGGAGGACAGCUUCCUCAUUACCACCUAUCAUGACCUUUCUCACGUCUCCUAUUCUGAAAGCCCAAUCAUGAUAUCUGGAUGGCUGUUUUAUUUUACAAUUUCUGGUUGCCAGUGAAAUGAAAACUUUUUUUCAUAUGUUAAUUAGUCAUUUUUUGGGAGGGUCUUAAAUGUAUGUUUCCAACAGAUGCAUUCCACAUUUUUUUAAAUAGUAAACUUGUCUAGUGAAUUUAAAAUGGGUAUAAUUUAUGAAACCAUGACUUGAUAAACAUUUUCACAAACCACAUAUUAGGUUAAUGCAAAAGUAAUGGCAGUUUUUGCAAAAACCGCAAUACUUUUGCACCAACUUAAUAGUUGCGUGUAAGGAAUAUACGCACGCGCGUGUGUGUGUGUGUGUGUGUGUGAAGUCUUCUAUUCUCUAAGCCAACCCUUCAGCCAAUAUUUUCAAGUGUUUCCCAUAUGAAUAGGUUUCUAAUUAAUGCAACAUCCUUUUAGCUCUCCUAUGCAUUUGUUCUAUUUUAAAAGGAUUUUCAGAAACUGAGAUGCCAGCAGCUGAUCACAAAUCUCCAGAUGCAAGAAAAGAUAUUGGUGGAACUUUUGCCUGUUUUCUGGACAAUAAAUAUUUGCUAAUCAUCCUCAAAGAUCAAUGCAACAACCAUUCAAAUUGGAGGUUGACCGUUGCCUGUUGUCUCAAAGUACCAUGAUUCAUUGCCAAAGGGACGAGUUUUUUGGACCUCAGUUGAUUUGAUAUUUGAUCUGUUAUUUCCUUCUCUUGAUAUAGCAAAGAGCAAAUGAUAAUAAAACAUGAAUAGAAAAUUAAAUAAGAAUUAAAAAUUUGUAGAAAAUAUUUUUAAAUAUAAGAGCAUUGCAAAACACAUUUACUGUAAGUGCAGCUGCAGAGUCAGCUGAGUCACCACUAGUCCUGACCUUCUCUGGCUGCCAAUGGCCAUGGUGCCAGGUCCUUGUCAGCAUUAAUCACAGUAACAAGUAAUGAGCUGAAAGUGUGAAUUUUGGUUAUAACUGUGGGGGUCUUAUUUAUGGUGAAAAAGGUCAUAAAGAAAAUAGAUUACAAUUUAAAUGGUAGAAACCUCUCACAAUAUAGGAUGUUUAAUAUCUAACUAUUUUUUCUCAUCCCCAAAUGCUAAAAUAAUUUGAUGUCAUAUAAACAAAGAAAAUAUCUAAACAAAAAUAGAAAAUGCGGGAGUGAUGAGUUAGUGGGAACUUGAUCUCCUGGCCUCUUGAAGGGACUUCAGCUCUUGGCCCCUUUUCCUUAGCCUUCAUUUUCUUCCCCUCAAAAGAGGAGGACUGGCUGAUUUGACUGGUGAGCUAUAAAGGAGAAAUUGAGCAAGACGUGCCUGCAGGACACAGGCAUUUCUCUCCUAUUCCAAGAUGUUCUGAUGAGCUCUGCCCUCUGGUAGAGGUCUGUGGUUGCUCAGCUGUGGUUGUGAUUACUGGGAGUUGAAGUAUGAGCAAGACAUUUGGCCACAGAUCUGGAUCUAUUUGUUUCAUGCCUUAUCUGUUUGCUUUUUGUGUACUGCUUCUAAAAACAGCAACAGCAACAAUUUUAACUAGACAGGGGAAGUAACUGGUAUGAUUAAUUGGCCCCCUAAAACUCCAAUAGUGAGGCAUGGCUUUGAAAGGAGGGUGAUGGUUUUGGUUCCAGAUGGAUUAAAGAGGAAGCGACAGAAGGCCCUCACAGUGAAAAUGCCCAGUAGGCAGUUGGAGAUGUGGGGCUGGUGUCUCAGGGUAAUAAAUAAUAACCAUGUUGCUUGUGGCUGUGAUGCUGGGUGCCAUGUGAAUUUAUUUUAUUUUAGUACAACGUAUUAGCUUCAUUAAACUAUUUUCCCAUAGGGGGACAAGCCAAACAGCCACAGGUCAUGUGUCUACUUGGGCAUAACCAAUACCAGGCAAAUUAGCCAAUAUUACAAUGUCAUUUUUAAAAAGUUGUUGUUGCAAUCCAAAUUUCAUUUAGCGCAAAGCAAUGAAAGGAGUGGAAUGGAAUAAAAGGAACUGGUGAAGAAAGCAGAGAGAACCACAAUUAUUCUCAGUCUGUCUCAUUUAUUAGGUCAGAAUAUAUGGUAAUAGCCUGCUGAAACUCAGCAUUUCUGAAAUCAGAGGAAUAAAUAGAGAGAGAGGCCAUUGGUCCACCCAUGCCAUGACUUUUCACAUGACAGGAAAAAUUGCUGCCCAGUCUGUGCUAGCUUGGCCUCUUCCUUCCAUAUUUACUAUGUAUAAAAAUUACUCUGUGUGGGAUCUUUCAUUUGAGUUAAUGACUAAAUGAUAAUAGUAUAUAUAUAUAUAUAUAAAUAACUCACUUUAAAAGUUCUAAAAAAUAAGAUCUUUGAGGAACUAUCAAUGCAAGGCAAGCAGCAUCUUAUCCCAGAAGGCAUAACGUAGGUCAAGAAGCCAAAAAACAACAAUCGUGAAAUCAUAUGGACAGUUGCAGAUUCAUGUUAUCCCACAAACACCCAGAGGGAGUUAGAUGCGAGCUCUAAGAGCCUGGGACUGCGUUGGGGCUGUCUGUGUUAGUUUAUCAACAUUAAGAUACUGUGAAACAGAAAAGGGUGGAGGAAAAUUUCAGAAGAAUGAGAGUGGUAGGAUCAUGGUGCCAAUGGUUUUAUGUAAUGGUUCCCCACAAAACUCGGCUUUCAAAUUAUUUCUAAAUUAUUACCUCUUGGUAUUAUUAUUGUUGUUAUUUAAAUUCAUGUCAAGUCAUAUCAAAGUGAGUUCCUUGAACUGAUUUUGAAAAGUUUUAUAUGAGCCUUUAUUACAUGGAAAAAUAGGUCUUCAUACUACUGCUCUGUCUGAGGCUUCAAAAAGAUGUCUUGGAUGCAUCUGGGAAGUUUGGGCCUUUGCGGAUAGGGUUGCCUAAGAUGUGCUUGGGCCCAAGAUGCUGUGUCCCCUGGCCCCACCCAGGGAAAUCACCAACACCACCGCCACCUUCAUUCAGACUCUGCAGCACCCCACUGCUAACAUUCAGUGAGAUUGGGAUGGGGUGAGUUUUGCACAAAAUUAUUCAUGGCCCAAAGUCUGGGCCACAUAAGUAGUCUUGCUGCAAAAAGUUGGUAAAAACCUGGUCUCCAUGAGGCUUGGCUAUAGAGUGAUUCGUUUGGGGAGGCUGUUUCAGGUGAACUGACAGUUUUUAAAAUAAUGGAUAUAACCGACUCUUCAAAGAAAAAAUAUCAUUCUCAAUUUUAAAAAAUCAUGCACUUCAGUGGCAGCCUGUGUUUUGCAUGAGUGAUAUUUCAGCAGACAGAUGAUGACAGUGCUGGUGAUGGUCCUGAGGUGAGGGACUGUAUGGCAUGCCCUUCAUCCCUUUAAGACUUUUCAUGCAUUGUUGCCUCUAUUCCCCUGACUGCUUCACCACCUGGUAAAUUUCUACUCACCCUUACAGCCUCAACUGGAAUAUUCCUUCCUCUGAGUCUAGCCCACUUAGCAAUAAUUGCAUAAAUUAUUCUCCCUCUGUAUUCACUUAAUGCCUUACUUAUACAUCCAUUGAGUUGAACCAUAACUCCCUUCUAUUUGUGGGAUUUAUUGUCCUCAGAGGUGGUAAAAGUAUAAACAAUUUAGAGUUGAUUUACAUAAAAAUCAUGGAUAAGAGAACCGUAAUGGACUAGUAAAAACGGUAGCAAUUUUUAGGCAUAUCUUCAACCUGAAAGUUUCUAUUAAGGGAGACUUCCAUGCCAAGUGUCUCUGUAGAAGAAAAUGGAAGGACAAAUGAAUUAUGUAACUGAUUACAUGAAAAGUCAUUCUGUAUAAUGUUCCUAUGGUAUUCAUUUCUUGAUUUAUUUGUUUGAUAAACAUGUCUUGAGAAGCUAUGUGCCAGGCAUUGUGCUAGGCCCUUAGGGGUACAUAGCGAUGAACAGAGAUAAGGUUGCUAUUCUCAUGAAGCUUAUAUUCUGGCAUUACAGAGAGAAAAAAAAGGAUGGUAAAUGGAUUGCUAAGAAGGACACUAACAACCAUUUAUUCAGAUUUCACUGUCAAGGUACCAAGUAAAUCUCAAUAUCCCAAUGACAUUUUCCUCUUUCCCCUAAAAACAAAACAAAAAACAGACAUCUGUUUUAUUCCAGUAAGUUUCAUCAUUUUAACAAUUACUCAAAAGGCUGAAAAUAAUUCAUAACCCAGAUAAAGAAAAUAUUUACAAAGCUCCUAGUGGUUUUUAAAAAUUGUUGUUUAAAAAUGUACUCUACAAAGGGGUCUUUGACCAGAUGGCUGUUUCAAAGAACAAUGAUUUCAUGUUUUAAAACUAACUUUAAAAUGGAGGUGUCUUUGCCUUCCAGGAAAACGUAGCAGCUGUGAGAUUAUUUCACUUCUUUUUCUUCCACAUUUUCCUGGAUUUAAUUGUAAGCAAAAACAAUAUAUAAAAGAGAAAAUUGUAGCAACACAGAACAAAACCUAUUGCAAAACAAGCAAUUGCACAUUUUUAACCACAACGAAAACCCAAAGGCAACCUUUUAUAAAAACUUAGCUGAGGAAGGAGACAACAUAGCACUUUCCUAGGGAAAUCUGCCUCUUCCCUGCUAAAUUUAGAAUAUAACCCUCUUACAUCUCAAUAAAAUCAACAUUGACUUGGUUUUCUUUCUUUCUUUCUUUUUUUUUUUUUUUUUUUUUUUUGAGAUGGAGUCUCACUCUAUCACCCAGGCUGGAGUGCAGUGGCAUGAUCUCAGCUCACUGCAACCUCCGCCUCCUGGUUUCAAGCGAUUUUCCUGCCUCAGCCUCCCGGGUAGCUGGGACUACAAGUGCCUGCCACCACGCCUGCCUAAUUUUUGCAUUUUUAGUAGAGACGGCGUUUCAGCAUCUUGGCCAGGAUGGUCUUGAUCUCUUGACCUCAUGAUCUGCCCACCUUGGCCUCCCAAAGUGAUGGGAUUACAGGUGUGAGCCACCAUGCCCAGCCUGACUUGGUUUUCUAUAGGAAUGAAUAUACUUGAGGAAUGACUGAAAAGGCUUCAGGAAAUGGCAAUGGAGAAAUUAGCCACAAGAAAGAAUAUAAGGUAACUGCUGUCUUGUGCCCUGUGUUGGUCAAGUCCUGCCAACCACUGUGUCCAGUUCUAGGAACUAAAUAAAGAGGUGGGGCACAGUGGGAAGGAGCUGGAGAAAGCCUCCAAAGUGACUAAAGAGAAGAGAGAUGAGGCUAAAAGGCCAAGGGAAGAUAUCUGCAAGAUGACAGCAGCAGAUGAAGUACUGUCUGAAGCAAUAUGGAGCCCCUGGCGUUUUAGCCAUUGCCAUUGAGGAAAAAAAUGAGAAGAAACUGACAAUGUGGCACAAGGAUAUGAAGGAUAAUUUUCUGAUAAUGCAAAGAAGCCUCUGACAAUCAGAUCUGCCUGAUUGUCAGUAACUAGCAACGCUCUAAGAUGGCUGGAACCUGGAAAGGAAGAAGUUCUGGAGUAAAACAGGUGCAAGUUGAUGCGAUGCUACUUGAUGGAACUGUGUGGGCAUAAAAAUAUGUCCCACCCAAAGGUAAAGCCUGAAGCCUAAGACAGUCACAUAAGCUGUCCAUGUGCCUGAACUGAAGGACUGUACUUUUCUUCUCUUAUGAGGAACACAUGUGGAUGUCCACUGGGGUAUAGUUGCCAAAGAAGACUGAUGAACUAUACUGACAAACAAGGAACCUAAGACUCUCUCCAAGUAGAGUUAAGCCCAGCAUCACAGUGGUUUAACAAAAGGUGCUUCCUGACACAGAUAAAGUCAGACUGACUUUUAAAUAUGUGGAGUAGAUAAACAGAGAUAUCCCAUCUGGAAUAUCCUUAUCCCCUUAUCAAAUUUUUCACCAGCUAGUUAAGUAAGCUUCUGGAAAUUUCAUUUUUUUAAGUCUUGAGGGCUUUAGGUUUCUAUAAGAAUUAGUAUGAUGUGAUGGAAGGAAUGUAGACAUUGCAAUCAGAUAGAGAAAUUCAAACCCUGAUACUUGUUAAUUAUGUGUGCUAGUCUGUGACUUUGAACCAAGUUACUUAAGUUCUCGGGGACUCAAUUUCUUUGUUGUUAAAUGGGGAUAGUACUAAGAGGGUUGUUUUAAGAAUUUGAAAUAAUGCAUGCAAAGCAUUUAGCAUGGUGACUGGUAGUGAUUAUUAUUAAAAUGGAAAUGUUCCUGGAGAAAGUGAUUAGUUCACAAGGCCAUAUUUCCAGAUGAUGUAAUUAACUGAGAAAGGAAGAUCAAAGAAGGAGGUAGACAGAAUGAGCGGCGAGGAUGAGCAACGGACAAGACAAAACACAAACUUCAGCUCCUCCAUAGCUCUGCCCUGAGUUUGGUGGAAACACUGGGCUAAGCAGUCUUAGAAGCAAGUACUGCAAUAGCUUUUCAUCUUGCUAAUGUAUUUUAGAUAUGGUCUUGCCUACAGGUGGGAUAUGACAUCUCUUGGUCUCUUUCAAUGCCAAUGUUAUAUAAUUUAGAAAUUUCAGAGCAAAGAAUUGGGAGGACCAAAAAUUAUAUGUUAGAUUUUUCUUUUUUAAUUUUUGUAAAUACAUAAGAGUUAUACAUAUUUAUGGGGUACUGUGAUAUUUUGAUACAAGUAUUCAAUGUAUAAUGAUCAAAUCAGUGUAACCGGACUAUCCAUCACCCAAAACAUUUAUUAUCUCUUUUUGUUAGGAACAUUUAUCUCAGUGAGAAAGAAACAAGUAUAAUACUGCCAAACAAAGAAGCUAACAUUUAAGAACAGAAGUCUAUAAUUAUGGAGUGGGGUCUGCAAACCAGCUCGAGUCACUGAAAAAAAAUCCUAAGAUCAAGUUCAUUGGUAUAUUUUAAAAAGUAACAAUAAUUACUUAUAUUAAAUACGACAGCUAUUAAGUAACUUAUAGUACUAAAUUAUAUAUAUCAAUAAUUUGGGCUCUAAGCUACUUUGUAGAGGCAAAGAGCUGAUCCAGGAAAUGUGUUUCCUUCUAUUAGAGCUCCAUAUGGCUCAAGAAUGCUUAUGUUGGGGAAAAUGGGGGUGUCAGCUCACAGAUUACUUAAUCUCCAUUGGGGUAGGAUUUUCCUGGUUACUCUCAUCUUGAGAUUGCCAUUGUGAUGAUUCAUUUGUGAACCAUGGAGAAAGAAAUCGAUUUCAAGUGUAGAGUUCAUCUGGAACUCUGUCAUUUUUCCAUCUCUUGAAACAUUUCAGCAAUCUCCUCAGUUCCUUUCCGUGUCUUACCUUACCUCCUUUCAAUCCACUCUGUAUUUCAUUAAGUAGUAUAUCCUUCUCUAUACUUCUGUCAGUUCUCUUCUGAAAAUCUGGAGGAGUGUCUUGUUCUAUAGCUUUAAAACUUCCCACAAUUUAAUUCUGCUAUCACACUCUCUCCAUUAUCACACAUACACACACACACACACACACACACAAUAUUAUCACAUUUAGUUUUUCAUAACUUCCAGUUAUAAAGAGUCUCUUUCCAUCAAAGCAAAACUUGCUGUUCCUUGAACAUAAUUGUCUGUCUCUGACCAUGACUUCCCAUAUUCCAAUCUCCAGAUGUGGAAUGCCACUUUUAUCUAGUCCUUUCACCCAUUUACAAUAUUUCAGGAUAACUUAAUUAUUGAUGCUUGGCUUGAACCAUUCCUUUCAUCUCUCACUCUGUGUGUGCAUGUAUGCAUGCAUGUGUGUAUUUCUAAAAUCUGGAUACUAUUAAUUUUCAUGAAUUUGAGUUUCAGUGAUGCUCCUUAUAAGAUUUUCAUAAAUGUUUUUCUUUUUGUCUUUGUAUUACUAGCCUGGAAUUUCUUUGGAUGAUUUCUUAAACAUUUAACACAAUAAAACAAUGUAUGUAAAAGCAGAAUGUAAAGUACAAAGUGCCAUGUAAUUAUUCAGUACCAUUUUUAUAUCCUCACAAAACAUGUAGUUAUCAUUAAAUAAAUCGGUUGAAGCUUAAAACUGAGAGAAAAAAUCCAGUAAGAAGUAAGCUGUAGCAUAUUCAUAAUCAAGACUAAC